GACGAACGCUGGCGGCGUGCUUAACACAUGCAAGUCGAACGAAGUGGCGAACGGGUGAGUAACGCGUAAUCCACCUGCCCUUCAGAGGGGGACAACAGUUGGAAACGACUGCUAAUACCGCAUACUGAAGGAGGGGAUUGCGUCGGAUUAGCUAGUUGGAGGGGUAACGGCCAACCAAGGCGAUGCUCCGUAGCCGGUCUUGGGGGAGUGACGGCCACAUUGGUACUGAGACACGGCCCAGACUCCUACGGGAGGCAGCAGUGGGGAAUCAUCCGCAAUGGACGAAAGUCUGACGGAGCAACGCCGCGUGAGUUAUGACGGCCUUCGGGUUGUAAAGCUCUUUUAAUCGGGACGCGGUACCGGAAUAGAAAGCCACGGCUAACUACGUGCCAGCCGCCGCGGUAAUAC
rnacentral:rRNA from 1 species